rnacentral:rRNA from 1 species
AGAGUUUGAUCCUGGCUCAGAUUGAACGCUGGCGGAAUGCUUUACACAUGCAAGUCGAACGGCAGCACGGGGGCAACCCUGGUGGCGAGUGGCGAACGGGUGAGUAAUACAUCGGAACGUGCCCAGUCGUGGGGGAUAACGCAGCGAAAGCUGUGCUAAUACCGCAUACGAUCUACGGAUGAAAGCGGGGGACUCGCAAGGGCCUCGCGCGAUUGGAGCGGCCGAUGGCAGAUUAGGUAGUUGGUGGGGUAAAGGCUCACCAAGCCUGCGAUCUGUAGCUGGUCUGAGAGGACGACCAGCCACACUGGGACUGAGACACGGCCCAGACUCCUACGGGAGGCAGCAGUGGGGAAUUUUGGACAAUGGGCGCAAGCC